GAGAGAGACCGCCAGUAAUUUCUUCAUUGUUACUCGUUCACAGACGGCAAGUUCUGUGACUCCCUCCCUCUCCCUCUCCCUCGCCCUCACACGAUGUCGGUGCAGAUAGAAAAAAAAGGCGCUAUGAGUGUUCUGCCCUCCCGCGCGGCUGGAAAAGAGAGGAAGUGCUGAGGAAAACUGGGUUGACUUGCGGUAAAGUAGCCCCAAUGGCAAGAAGUUCCGAAGCAAGCCCCAGUUGACCCGCUACCUCGGUGACACUGUUGACCUUUCCUUCUUCGAUUUUCGGACUGGGAAGGUCAACCAAAUGCUGGCGAGGAAGAACAAGAAGUCCCGUGGUACCCUCUUUGAUUACAGAUGGCAAAUGACAGACUCGCAUUGCUGCACCGUGUUUCCAGGAUGGGCCUGGAUGGUCUGCACCCGCAACUUUUGAAAUCGUGUCCAGCUGUGGCUGUUCUGCUGGUUUUGAUAUUUCAAAAGUCUAUCAGCACUGGGAAGUUACCUCAGGCCUGGAAACAAUCCAAGAUCACUUCCAUAUUGAAGAAGGGCUCAAGAUACACCCUUCUGAAUUACAGACCCAUAAAUCUGACAAUGGGGAGUUUUCGGAACUAAACCGCUAGAUGUUGUUGCUGCUCAUGUAAUUGUAGGAAAGAGAGCUAAAAUAUUGUUGUAUUAAAUCCCAGGUGUGUAAAGAUGUAUAGAACAUUGAUCAUCAUGAUACUAUUGAAAUGAUGCAUCGACUUUUCAAUAUCCGGUAUGGAUAAUAUUGAGAGAAUGUGGUCAAAUUAAUUUAUUUUUUGUGUGAUUAUUGAGUAAACUGCUAGCAUUAUCUUAAAUAAAGCAUAUUACAAGUAUAAAAACUAUUGAUGUGGACAAUGAAAAAAAUAAAAAACACACUGUAC